UACCGUUAUUUUUGUCUGUUAUUAUUAGCAUAUGAUCAGAAGGUAUUAUUUACUAAGCGAAUUUCAUUUAUGCGGUUGUAGUUUUUGAAGAAAAAAUGGUGAAAAAACAAAAAUCUCAGAAUUUACCGGCUAAGGUAGUCAAAUAUUGGCAAGAGAACUAAAGUACUCGUGAGAUAGGCAAUAUUUUCAAAACACACAUACUAUUGUUCAGUUCAUUAUUGUUAAAUUCAAAUAGACUGAUUCUAGCGAAACGCUCAAAAAAAUUGCACGUCCCAGUCUGAAAGUAAAGUUGCUCAUUGUAUCAAGGAAUAUCCCAAAAUAUCCGCUGUCGCUAACGUAUUUUGGGAUUGUGUAAUUUUUACAGUGGAAGCUGUAUUGUGUUCGUAUGUGGUGCAAUGGAAGCAAAAGCCAGAGCCUAUAUGGAGAAGAAAUUACGAGAGCGCAAAGCUAAUAGCAACAAUGACAGCUUGCGCAGAGGGAUGGACGCACGGAAUGGAUGGAUCCGAACCGGAUUUCUACUCAUGCUAUCAUCCUGAUCUUUUAUAUGUA